rnacentral:rRNA from 1 species
GUGCCAGCAGCCGCGGUAAGACGGGAGAUGCAAGCGUUAUUCGGAUUUAUUGGGCGUAAAGGGUCUGUAGGUUGUUGGUUAAGUCUAUGGUCAAAUUCCGAAGCUCAACUUCGGGCCGGCACUAGAAACUAAUCAACUUGAGUACGUUAGAGGCAGGGGGAAUUCCCAGUGUAGCGGUGAAAUGCGUAGAUAUUCGGAGGAACACCAAUUGCGAAGGCAGUUCACUGGACCGUGAUCGACGCUGAGGAGCGAAAACUAGGGGAGCAAACAGGAUUAGAUA